CGGGUAUAGUUUAGUGGUAAAACUAUAGCUUCCCAAGCUAUUGAUGUGAGUUCGAUUCUCAUUACUC
rnacentral:tRNA from 1 species